rnacentral:rRNA from 1 species
UACGGAGGGAGCUAGCGUUGUUCGGAAUUACUGGGCGUAAAGCGCACGUAGGCGGCUUUGUAAGUUAGAGGUGAAAGCCCGGGGCUCAACCCCGGAAUUGCCUUUAAGACUGCAUCGCUUGAAUCCGGGAGAGGUGAGUGGAAUUCCGAGUGUAGAGGUGAAAUUCGUAGAUAUCGGGAGGAACACCUGUGGCGAAGGCGGCGAUCUGGCCCAACAUUGACACUCAGACCCGAAAGUGCGGGGAUCAAACAGG